UGAUGGUGAUGAGGACAAUUUCUGAUAAAUCUCUCCCAAGCUUGGUAGAGAUUUUCUCCAUCUUUUUGUCUAAAACUUAAGAUGUCACUCCUCAAAUG
rnacentral:snoRNA from 1 species